AUUGAACGCUGGCGGCAUGCCUUACACAUGCAAGUCGAACGGCAGCACGGGGGCAACCCUGGUGGCGAGUGGCGAACGGGUGAGUAACACAUCGGAACGUGCCCAGUAGUGGGGGAUAGCUCGGCGAAAGCCGGAUUAAUACCGCAUACGACCUACGGGUGAAAGCGGGGGAUCGCAAGACCUCGCGCUAUUGGAGCGGCCGAUGUCAGAUUAGGUUGUUGGUGGGGAAAGGCCUACCAAGCCGACGAUCUGUAGCUGGUCUGAGAGGACGACCAGCCACACUGGGACUGGGACACGGCCCAGACUCCUACGGGAGGUAGCAGUGGGGAAUUUUGGACAAUGGGCGCAAGCCUGAUCCAGCCAUGCCGCGUGCGGGAAGAA
rnacentral:rRNA from 1 species